rnacentral:tRNA from 2 species
GCUUCUCUGGCGCAACAGGUAACGCGGCUGAUUUGUAAUCAGCGGAUUGUCGGUUCGAAUCCGGCGGGAAGCU